GCACCUUCGGGUGUGAAUUAGCGGCGAACGGGUGAGGAACACGUGAGAAAUCUGCCUUCAACUCUGGGAUAACUCCGGGAAACCGGGGCUAAUACCGGAUAUGAGCCUUGAUCGCAUGAUCGGGGCUGGAAAGUUUUUCGGUUGAAGAUGAUCUCGCGGCCUAUCUUCUUGUUGGUGAGGGCCCCCCUCACCAAGGCGACGACGGUANCCGGCCUGAGAGGGCGACCGGCCACACUGGGACUGAGACACGGCCCAGACUCCUACGGGAGGCAGCAGUGGGGAAUAUUGGGCAAUGGAGGAAACUCUGACCCAGCGACGCCGCGUGAGGGAUGAAGGCCUUCGGGUUGUAACCUCUUUCAGUAGGGAAGAAGCGAAAGUGACGGUACCUACAGAAGAAGCACCGGCUAACUAUGUGCCAGCAGCCGCGGUAAUACAUAGGGUGCAAGCGUUGUCCGGAAUUAUUGGGCGUAAAGAGCUCGUAGGUGGUUAGAUACGUCGGAUGUGAAAAUCAGGGGCUCAACCCCUGACCUGCAUUCGAUACGGUCUAGCUAGAGUGUGGUAGGGGAGACUGGAAUUCCUGGUGUAGCGGUGGAAUGCGCAGAUAUCAGGAGGAACACCGAUGGCGAAGGCAGGUCUCUGGGCCAUUACUGACACUGAGGAGCGAAAGCGUGGGGAGCGAACAGGAUUAGAUACCCUGGUAGUCCACGCCGUAAACGGUGGGCGCUAGUUGUGCGAACCUUCCACGGUUUGUGCGACGCAGCUAACGCAUUAAGCGCCCCGCCUGGGGAGUACGAUCGCAAGAUUAAAACUCAAAUGA
rnacentral:rRNA from 1 species